rnacentral:rRNA from 20 species
UGACCUCAAAUCGGGUGAGACUACCCGCUGAACUUAA